ensembl:lincRNA
GUUUUGUUGUUGUUGUUAUUGUUUGAGACAGAGUCUUGAUCUGUCUCCCAGGUUGGAGUGCAGUGGCAAGAUCUCAGCUCGCUGCAACCUCCACCUCCUGGGUUCAAGCAAUUGUCCUGCCUCAGCCUCCUGAAUAGCUGGGAUUACAGGCGUGCGCCAGCACAUCUGGCUAAUUUUUUUGCAUUUUUAGUAGAGAUGGGGUUUCACCAUGUUAGCUAGGAUGGUCUCGAUCUCCUGAUCUCAUGAUCCUCCCGCCUCCGCCUCCCGAAGUGCUGGGAUUACAGGCAUGAGCCACGGCGCCGGGCGCAUCUGAGGUAUUUUUAAGAGCUGAAAAUUUUAUUCGUUUUCGUGAAAAUGGGGCCACAAAAGAAAAAUAACAGAGGCCCAGAUGUUGACCCUCUGGUGGAAAAUGCCAUGGCUAAUUGAACCUCUCUCUCUCAUGACUGAGCCUGGAAUCCAUGUGGCAGAAGAUGAACGGCUGUGAAAGAUGAUUUAGAAAACGUUCAGAAGUCCAGCAACUCCAAGACAGUCUCACUGUAUCUUCACUCCGUACAAGUCAUGACCAUUGACUCACCUCACGUGACAAUUAGAUUAAGUCCAUGAAGAGUGCCGCAUCCUACCCAUUUUUAAGAGUUGCCAAGAGCCAUCAUUGCAAGCCCUGGGUUAAUGACAGGAGCCCCAGGAGGGACGGCGCCAUGGGGACUCCACGGCCUUGGAGGUCAUGCUAAGGGACUUUGACUUGGUCCUUUGGGCAAUGGUAAGGGGACAUCAAACCUCUAAGCAUAAAAAAAAAGAUACAUUUUCAAUAAAAUUUUAAUUGUUUAUGUUAAAAAGAAUUUAGA